UACGUAGGGUGCGAGCGUUGUCCGGAAUUAUUGGGCGUAAAGGGCGCGUAGGCGGCCUGUUAAGUCGGACGUGAAAUCCCCGGGCUCAACCCGGGAACUGCGUCCGAUACUGGCAGGCUUGAAUCCGGGAGAGGGAUGUGGAAUUCCAGGUGUAGCGGUGAAAUGCGUAGAUAUCUGGAGGAACACCGGUGGCGAAGGCGACAUCCUGGACCGGUAUUGACGCUGAGGCGCGAAAGCCAGGGGAGCAAACGGG
rnacentral:rRNA from 1 species